AAUUGUCCUGUGGGCACAAAACAAACUUGUUUUCAACCUUGGAUCUGUUUUUCACACCUCUGCUUCUACUGGCUUCAGUGGAUUUUUUUUUUUUCCUCCUAGUGCAAACGUUAGAGGAAUGAGACAUAGGAAAAGCAUAACAACAUAAGAGUUGGAUUUUUUGCACAGAAAAAAAAAUAUAGGAAAAGAGAAGAAGUAUUUUUGACCUGAAACAACUUCUGCUGAAAUUAACAUGCUCAAGUAACAAUGAAGAAUGUGGCUCUCAUUUCUGACUGCAAGGUAUUUGGUAAGGGCUUACUGGUGUUUCCUCUGAAGCUGGUGACUUUGUCCUGGACAGUGCUGGACCACUGGGUUUGAUUCAGUUACAGCUGUCGAUCACAGUGGAAAGAGGUGUAAGCAUCCAUCACCUCUAGAAAUUGCACCUUUCAAAGCAAAGAUUAAAAAAUUUCUUCUAUGC
rnacentral:lncRNA from 1 species